AGAGUUUGAUCCUGGCUCAGAUUGAACGCUGGCGGCAUGCCUAACACAUGCAAGUCGAACGGCAGCAUGACCUAGCUUGCUAGGUUGAUGGCGAGUGGCGGACGGGUGAGGAAUGCAUCGGAAUCUGCCCAGUCGUGGGGGAUAACGUAGGGAAACUUACGCUAAUACCGCAUACGACCGUAAGGUGAAAGCGGGGGAUCGAAAGACCUCGCGCGAUUGGAUGAGCCGAUGCCGGAUUAGCUUGUUGGUGGGGUAACGGCCCACCAAGGCGACGAUCCGUAGCUGGUCUGAGAGGAUGAUCAGCCACACUGGGACUGAGACACGGCCCAGACUCCUACGGGAGGCAGCAGUGGGGAAUAUUGGACAAUGGGGGCAACCCUGAUCCAGCAAUGCCGCGUGUGUGAAGAAGGCCUUCGGGUUGUAAAGCACUUUUAUCGGGAAAGAAACACUGUCGGCUAAUACCCGGCGGGACUGACGGUACCCGAUGAAUAAGCACCGGCUAACUCCGUGCCAGCAGCCGCGGUAAUAC
rnacentral:rRNA from 1 species